rnacentral:pre_miRNA from 1 species
UCAUGGAUGAGCAAAGAAGGUGGUUUUCUGAGAUGGAAUCUGCUCCUGGUGAGGAUGCCGUGAA